rnacentral:lncRNA from 1 species
UUUGUGGCCUCUUCCAUUUUCAGGAUGUGGCUGAAUCCUCCACAUCCUGAUCAGCAGCUGUCUAGGCCACGAUCUGUGUGGGCAGGCUUUGAGUCACUCUGUUUUGUGGUGAGGAUGCAUGUAAUUGAGGCAUGAGGUGAAGGGUGUAUGGUGUUUGAAGCCUUGUGGGGCACUUGAAUAGCAGCUGACAAAAAAAUUUUGAUCAUAAGCAGGUAGAUAAGAUGGAUUAGUCUUGGCUGGUCAUGUCUGCCCUUACAGAAGAUAAUUGAAACAAAAUUAAUAUUUUUUGCAGCUGUUGAUAGAGUUGGGAGGUUUUGCUCCUCAGCAUUUGCAUGCCUUUGACCCCAGAACCUGGAGGCAUCCGUGAAUCUUCACAGUGUCAAAGUAACAUCCAGUCAGGCUUUGCAUGGCAUGAGGCAGAAACAGGAUUUUCUAGCAUGGUGAGUACUUGUAGAAUCAACAGGCUGAUGAUUUCUAAUGACCAAGAAUUCAGGAGACACUGCAUCCUAAAUACGAGCAGAAGGGGGUCAGUAACCUGCCAAGUAAAUUCUCUUUCACCCCUACAUGUUUGAGAGGUGGCUUCAGGGAGGAAUUUAGGAAAGGCUCAUUGUGGAAUGACUUAAUGUGAGCUCUCAUGAGGAUGGAAAGGAGCACUACCAGGGGGAAGUUCACAAAUGGAGGUUGAAGGAGCUGUUUAAAAUUAUAAUACAGCUAGGGAUUUAAUGAUGAUGUUCAUGAGAAGACCUUGAGGGAUCAUGUAGCACAGGAUGUUUUUCCCUUUAGUACUCACUGAUUUCAAUUGUAAGCUCUUCUCUCUGUCAUUACUUUGCUCAAUGUAAACUUUUCCAGCCUCUUUGCCUUUUUUUUUUCUUUCCAGAGAAGACAGACCAGAAGUGUCUCUUUUUCCAGGUUUUAGUUUGCUGCUUU